ACGAACGCUGGCGGCGUGCUUCACCCAUGCCAGUCGAGCGGAAAGGCCCUGCUUUUGUGGGGUGCUCGAGUGGCGAACGGGUGAGUAACACGUGAGUAACCUGCCCUUGACUUUGGGAUAACUUCAGGAAACUGGGGCUAAUACCGGAUAGGAGCUCCUGCUGCAUGGUGGGGGUUGGAAAGUUUCGGCGGUUGGGGAUGGACUCGCGGCUUAUCAGCUUGUUGGUGGGGUAGUGGCUUACCAAGGCUUUGACGGGUAGCCGGCCUGAGAGGGUGACCGGCCACAUUGGGACUGAGAUACGGCCCAGACUCCUACGGGAGGCAGCAGUGGGGAAUAUUGCACAAUGGGCGGAAGCCUGAUGCAGCAACGCCGCGUGCGGGAUGACGGCCUUCGGGUUGUAAACCGCUUUCGCCUGUGACGAAGCGUGAGUGACGGUAAUGGGUAAAGAAGCACCGGCUAACUACGUG
rnacentral:rRNA from 1 species